UUUGCUUAGAAGUAUUAUCCAAAAGUAAAUGUUUGACGGUCCAGGUAAAAUUUCACUUUAAAUUAUUACAGUGAAAUCCAAUUCUAACAUAUUUGGACUUUGGACAUAAUAUUAUUACAGUGAAAUCAUGCAUGCAAUGUGGAAACCUCAGAAGUUCAAAUGUAUCUAUCUUUAUGCUACACUUUAUGUAUUUACCCUCACACUACCAUCUGCUACUGCUAUGUAUUGGGCCUUUGGUGACAAACUCUUAGACCAUUCCAAUGCCUUUGCUCUUCUCCCUCGUUCUGCUUGGCGUGAUGCUGCUGUAGUAUUAAUGCUCAUUCAUCAGGUCCAUAUACAUUGUUUUUCCUAUCUUCUUUCUUAUAAUUAUUUUUUGUAUCUCAUUUAAUUUGUAUUGUAAUUUGCAGUUUAUCACGUUUGGAUUUGCUUGUACUCCAUUGUAUUUUGUGUGGGAGAAAGUAAUAGGAAUGCAUGACACAAAGAGCAUAUUCUUGAGAGCUCUAGCAAGAUUACCUGUGGUGAUACCAAUAUGGUUUUUAGCUAUUAUUUUCCCUUUCUUUGGUCCCAUUAACUCAGCUGUGGGGGCUCUUUUGGUUAGCUUCACUGUCUAUAUCAUCCCUGCUUCUGCCCAUAUGCUCACUUUCAAAUCUGCUUCUGCAAGACAGGUAUAUGCUCCAAUCUCAACACAUCUUAUCUUUUCUUUAAAGUUUCUAUCUAACUGGUGGGACGGAUCCAGGCCGAGUUAUGCUUGUCUCAUACCCAAUUCUAAAUAUUGACAAAGUCUAAUUUUUAAACUCAAACCUAAUCCCAAACAUGAUGAGACCACCCUAUUCGGGCCUGAUCAUGAUCAGAAAAAGCUGAAUGAGCGGAAGGGUCGGGUCCUGCUCGCUUGUAGUCUCACUCAUCUAAUUUUACUGUAUACACAGUGAAUUUCUCUUCAUUUAUAAUUAUAACAUAUCUAAUAUCACUAUUAAGGCAUGCUCAUGUCAAUCUAGGCUUUAAUAGGGAAAAAUAGUAGUAACAUAACAUGUCUCUCUUACAUAUGUUAUGUGACAGAAUAUAUUAAAGUAUAUAAGUAUGAAGAAAAUAUGAGGUGUCUAUUUAUAUCUAUAUUACAAAUAGUUGUAUUAAUUGAUGUGAUGUGUAAGUGGUAUGGUAUCUAAUAUAUUGUCUCUAAUAAUCAGCAUGUACAUUCUGUUUACAGCCUGUAACUACCUAUAAUGAUACACCAAAUUUAGGCACUGUGGUAUAUGUCCUACACAAAAGCUAAACCUUUAAAACAAAAUCUUUUCAAUGAGAAGAACUAUAAUGGAAAUCCAAGAUUUUCCAUUUUUAUGACCAAAUCUUAGAAAAAUGUCUAAUGGGGUUCUUAAAACUCCUUGUGGUGUGCAUGUGUCAAAGGAUAGGAUAGGAUUCUAGCUUCAUGAUUUAACUUGGAAGUGACUCCCAAUAUCACUAGUUCUAUUAAUUAUUCGAAUUUGGAGAUUUAUGAGAUAUGGUGAGGUUGGUGUCAUUUCUUUGUCAUUCAGUUAUAUGCUAUAGUCAUAUUACCCUCUGAUACUAUAUGAGCCACAUUUUUAACAAUGAGCUGGGGUCAUGACCAACCUAACACUCUUAUGUGACCCUACUCACUAGUACUCAUGUUACUAUUCUGUCCUUGUUCCUAAUAGAUGCUCAUAAUGAGUUAGCAAUUUAUUACAGGUGUUGGUCAAGUGGCAUAAGACCUUGUUAGAUUUUAAGGAUGACCAAAAUGUUAAAGUUUUGAUUCAUGUGAGUGACAUUUGUUGGAAGAGACAUCUACUACCCCUUCUUUACAAAAAAAACCAUAAGUUAACAAUUUCAAAGGUCCUUAUUUCAGUACUAGAGACACAAGUUAUUGAUUUUGCUUUUAUAUUCAAGGAUAAAAGUGUCAUCACAUUGCAAUAUAAAAAGCAUAAAAGUGUCACAUCAUACCAUUUUUUUUCUUUUGUUUUUCAUGCACUUCAUUCUUUCAAUAUUGGAGAGGAUCGAGACCCACUUAGUUCAUUAUUUAUUUGUUCUUUUUUUUUCAGAAUGCUGCAGAGAAAUUGCCCUUCUUCAUCCCAAGCUGGACUUUAAUGUAUGUGAUCAAUGCAUUCGUGGUUGUGUGGGUUCUAGUUGUAGGCUUUGGAUUUGGAGGUUGGGCUAGCAUGACAAAUUUCAUUAGGCAAGUUGACACAUUUGGACUAUUUGCCAAGUGCUAUCAGUGCCCACCAAAAGUCCCAGCUACCAACCAAACACUGCAUCACUGAAAAAUUAUGUUCUUUGUUGUUAGCAUCUCCUCCAUUGUGUGGUGUGAGCUCUAUUUUUUCCCUUUUUUGUUGUCUAAUCUCCUUAUAGAUACAUUGUUGUUAAUGUUGAUGUUCUUUUGUGUUGCAUAUGGCAACAUUGUUGUUAUUUUGCAUAUGAAUCAUUUUGGUUAAUUAUGUAAAGAUGAUUAUGGCUAACUUAGGAUUUGGUGUUUGAUAAUUGGCAUAUGGUGGCCUCAAAGUAAAGCAUGGAAAGUUUCUAGUAAUGUAUGAACUCUUAGAUAAGAUAAUCAGUUUUUAAUCUUCAUAAAUGACCACUUGGACAAGAGGACUUGGACUUACAUAUUUGGAGCAUGCUGUGCCACCACAGUGUUCAUACCCUCAUUCCAUAAUUACAGGAUUUGGUCCUUCCUUGGCCUUGGCAUGACCACAUACACAGCUUGGUACUUGACCAUUGCAGCCCUUGUUAAUGGCAAGGUAAGUGUCCCACAGUUUGUAUCACUCUAUGUGUCAUCAGCUACGAUUGGUCGAAAACAAUGCAUUUAAAUUAAAGAUUUAAUUAUUAAAUAUUUUUCUAAUAAAUUAUAAUUUGUUUGAUUUCAUAGUGGGUCCUCUUGUUUGAAUUCAUUUGAUAUUAACUUGGUAUAAAAUUUGUAUUUUUUUAGGCUGAAAAUGUGACACACACAGGCCCAAACAAAAUGGUAUUGUAUUUCACAGGUGCCACUAAUAUCCUAUACACUUUCGGCGGGCACGCUGUUACAGUGUAAGUAACCCUUUUUCUUAUAAUAAUUUUUUAUCAUAAGCUAGACAAAACAAUGAUGAUAGUUUUCUUUAUUGUCUUAGGACAAUGAAACAUAAAAAAUAAUACUACAAGUUUAUUAUACGACCACUUUUCUUAAGUUGCAGCUUUUGCCUCCAAUGUAAUGAAAUAAGACAAACAGUAAAUCUGGCACUUAUGAUUCUCUGAACAACCAUUACAGUAGUGUCUUGGCUUAUAGUUAUACUCUGUCAUUAGCAUUAAAAAAUUCAAACCCCAGUUUAACUUUUUCUUUAAUCUGAAGCUCUUAUGUUAAGAAUUCAGAUUUUGCUUUUCUACCAAGUCACCUUCAAUGUGGUAGAUUUGCAUCUAUAUUAUUAUUAUAACUGAGUAGUGACAUUUUACCUCAUUAUCAUUUAUACCAAUCUUCUAGUUUACAUUUCUCACAGUAAAAGGAAAGGGUAACUACAUAGACAAAUAUGCAAUAUAAAAUAUAUUAUACUUUUCACCCUUUAUUAAUUUAUAUAUAUGUUUUUCUCUCUAAUUUGCUUAGAAGUAUUAUCCAAAAGUAAAUGUUUGACGGUCCAGGUAAAAUUUCACUUUAAAUUAUUACAGUGAAAUCCAAUUCUAACAUAUUUGGACUUUGGACAUAAUAUUAUUACAGUGAAAUCAUGCAUGCAAUGUGGAAACCUCAGAAGUUCAAAUGUAUCUAUCUUUAUGCUACACUUUAUGUAUUUACCCUCACACUACCAUCUGCUACUGCUAUGUAUUGGGC
rnacentral:lncRNA from 1 species